rnacentral:rRNA from 1 species
ACGAACGCUGGCGGCGUGCCUCAUCCCUGCAAGUAGAACGCUGAAGAGAGGAGCUUGCUCUUCUUGGAUGAGUUGCGAACGGGUGAGUAACGCGUAGGUAACCUGCCUUGUAGCGGGGGAUAACUAUUGGAAACGAUAGCUAAUACCGCAUAACAAUGGAUGACACAUGUCAUUUAUUUGAAAGGGGCAAUUGCUCCACUACAAGAUGGACCUGCGUUGUAUUAGCUAGUAGGUGAGGUAAUGGCUCACCUAGGCGACGAUACAUAGCCGACCUGAGAGGGUGAUCGGCCACACUGGGACUGAGACACGGCCCAGACUCCUACGGGAGGCAGCAGUAGGGAAUCUUCGGCAAUGGGGGCAACCCUGACCGAGCAACGCCGCGUGAGUGAAGAAGGUUUUCGGAUCGUAAAGCUCGGUUGUAAGUCAAGAACGGGUGUGAGAGUGGAAAGUUCACACUGUGACGGUAGCUUACCAGAAAGGGACGGCUAACUACGUG